rnacentral:lncRNA from 1 species
UAUGGGGGGGUAUGGUUAAUGUAUGGUUUAAUAUGGGGGGUUAUAUGGUUAAUUGAUGAGGUGGUGGCUAAUGAAUAUGUAAAUGAGGCGCAUAAUUAGCCGUUAAUUACUCACCCGCCGAGGCGAUGGGCUGAGCACCCCCCCGGGGCAGCCCCCACAGCGCCAACAGCGCCAGCACCACCUAGAGGGAAUAUAUAGGGCAAUGUAUAGGGGAUCUAUGGGGUUCUAUGGGGCUCUAUGGGGUUCUAUGGGGUUCUAUGGGGCGCUAUGGGGCUCUAUGGAGCGCUAUGGGGCACUAUGGAGUCUCUAUGGGGCUCUAUGGGGUGCUAUGGGGCUCUAUGGGGCACUAUGGGGCUCUAUGGGAUCUCUGUGGGGUCUCUAUGGGGUUAUGGGGUCCCUAUGGGUCCCUAUGGGGGGAUAUGGGGUCCCUAUGGGUCUCUAUGGGAUCUCUGUGGGGUCUCUAUGGCGUUAUGGGGUUCUAUGGGACUCUAUGGGGCAAUAUAGGGGAUCUAUGGGGUUCUAUGGGGCUCUAUGGGGAUCUAUGGGGUUCUAUGGAGUUCUAUGGGGCUCUAUGGGGCAAUAUAGGGGAUCUAUGGGGUUCUAUGGGGCUCUAUGGGGUCUCUAUGGGGCUCUAUGGGGUUAUGGGGUCCCUAUGGGUCUCUAUGGGGGGAUAUGGGGUCCCCAUGGGUCUCUAUGGGAUCUCUGUGGGGUCUCUAUGGGACUCUGGGGUUCUAUGGGACUCUAUGGGGCACUAUGGGGUUCUAUGGGGAUCUAUGGGGCACUAUGGGGCAAUAUAUAGGGGAUCUAUGGGGUCUAUGGGGUUCUAUGGGGCUCUGUGGGGCUCUAUGGGGUUCUAUGGGGUUCUAUGGGGCAACAUAGGGGAUCUAUGGGGUUCUAUGGGGCACUAUGGGGCUCUAUGGGGCUCUAUGGGGCUCUAUGGGGCAAUAUAUAGGGGAUCUAUGGGGCAAUAUAUAGGGGAUCUAUGGGGUUCUAUGGGGCAAUAUAUAGGAGAUCUAUGGGGCAAUAUAUAGAGGAACUAUGGGGCAAUAUAUAGGGGAUCUAUGGGGUUCUAUGGGGCAAUAUAUAGGGGAUCUAUGGGGUUCUAUGGGGC